GAAAUAUCCAACAUCUUUGCACUGCUGCUCCUAAAGCAGCUCUGCUCACAGAUGGUGGCUUGAAGGAAUCCCAUAGUUCAUCAUUAAAUGUGGAUGUCAAAAUUUCUGAACAUGCUGUGAGGAAAUUGUUUAAUUUUUUCUCUUCUUUGGUGCUAACUCAGUUAAAAAGAAAAACCAAGAAGAAGUGCUGUAGAAUGUGAGCUUCAUGAGAACGUCUGCUGUAUCCUCUGGAAUAUGGUCAGCACCGGGGUGAUUUAAAAGAUAGAUUAUUCUAUGAUGGAAUCAGACUAAAGUGUGUCAUUAUGACGAAUAGAUUCAAAUAUAGAUUGAAGGGCGACACCAUUUUUAAGAAUAUCAUUUUCACUUCUCUGGGUCAUAACAAAAAGAAAUGAGCACCAGUGUUCACUGUCAACGUUGCAUGAGUUUCAAGAAAUUAAGGCCCUUUCUGCCUCUCAUAACCAAAGGAUAAUUGAAAAGAAAGGGUUAAAGUAAGAAUUUUGCUUUUUAUGAAAGUAAAGAAAAAGGAAAAUCAAAUAAAAAAUUGCUGCCAAGGGAGAAAGAGAAUUGGAGAACUGUGACAGAUCCCUCUGGGGUCCAGAUUGUUGGCGCAAUGAGAGAGGUUAAAGUGAAUGGAACAAUGGGAAAUCAGUCAUGAGCCUGAAGCUAAUCAUUUGGCUUCUGAACAAAACGGGGA